rnacentral:rRNA from 1 species
GUUGUGAGGUUAAGCGACUAAGCGUACACGGUGGAUGCCCUGGCAGUCAGAGGCGAUGAAGGGCGUACUAAUCUGCGAUAAGCGCCGGUAAGGUGAUAUGAACCGUUAUAACCGGCGAUACCCGAAUGGGGAAACCCAGUGUGAUUCGUCACACUAUCAUUAACUGAAUCCAUAGGUUAAUGAGGCGAACCGGGGGAACUGAAACAUCUAAGUACCCCGAGGAAAAGAAAUCAACCGAGAUUCCCCCAGUAGCGGCGAGCGAACGGGGAGGAGCCCAGAGCCUGAAUCAGCAUGUGUGUUAGUGGAAGCGUCUGGAAAGGCGCGCGAUACAGGGUGACAGCCCCGUACACAAAAGCGCAUGUGCUGUGAGCUCGAUGAGUAGGGCGGGACACGUGGUAUCCUGUCUGAAUAUGGGGGGACCAUCCUCCAAGGCUAAAUACUCCUGACUGACCGAUAGUGAACCAGUACCGUGAGGGAAAGGCGAAAAGAACCCCGGCGAGGGGAGUGAAAAAGAACCUGAAACCGUGUACGUACAAGCAGUGGGAGCACAGGUUUACCUGUGUGACUGCGUACCUUUUGUAUAAUGGGUCAGCGACUUAUAUUCUGUAGCAAGGUUAACCGAAUAGGGGAGCCGGAGGGAAACCGAGUCUUAAUUGGGCGUUAAGUUGCAGGGUAUAGACCCGAAACCCGGUGAUCUAGCCAUGGGCAGGUUGAAGGUUGGGUAACACUAACUGGAGGACCGAACCGACUAAUGUUGAAAAAUUAGCGGAUGACCUGUGGCUGGGGGUGAAAGGCCAAUCAAACCGGGAGAUAGCUGGUUCUCCCCGAAAGCUAUUUAGGUAGCGCCUCGUGAAUUCAUCUCCGGGGGUAGAGCACUGUUUCGGCUAGGGGGCCAUCCCGGCUUACCAACCCGAUGCAAACUGCGAAUACCGGAGAAUGUUAUCACGGGAGACACACGGCGGGUGCUAACGUCCGUCGUGAAGAGGGAAACAACCCAGACCGCCAGCUAAGGUCCCAAAGUCAUGGUUAAGUGGGAAACGAUGUGGGAAGGCCCAGACAGCCAGGAUGUUGGCUUAGAAGCAGCCAUCAUUUAAAGAAAGCGUAAUAGCUCACUGGUCGAGUCGGCCUGCGCGGAAGAUGUAACGGGGCUAAACCAUGCACCGAAGCUGCGGCAGCGACACUGUGUGUUGUUGGGUAGGGGAGCGUUCUGUAAGCCUGUGAAGGUGUGUCGUGAGGCAUGCUGGAGGUAUCAGAAGUGCGAAUGCUGACAUAAGUAACGAUAAAGCGGGUGAAAAGCCCGCUCGCCGGAAGACCAAGGGUUCCUGUCCAACGUUAAUCGGGGCAGGGUGAGUCGACCCCUAAGGCGAGGCCGAAAGGCGUAGUCGAUGGGAAACGGGUUAAUAUUCCCGUACUUGGUGUUACUGCGAAGGGGGGACGGAGAAGGCUAUGUUGGCCGGGCGACGGUUGUCCCGGUUUAAGCGUGUAGGUGUGUGUUCCAGGUAAAUCCGGUUCACUUUAACACUGAGGCGUGACGACGAGGCACUACGGUGCUGAAGCAACAAAUGCCCUGCUUCCAGGAAAAGCCUCUAAGCAUCAGGUAACAUCAAAUCGUACCCCAAACCGACACAGGUGGUCAGGUAGAGAAUACCAAGGCGCUUGAGAGAACUCGGGUGAAGGAACUAGGCAAAAUGGUGCCGUAACUUCGGGAGAAGGCACGCUGACACGUAGGUGAAGUGAUUUACUCAUGGAGCUGAAGUCAGUCGAAGAUACCAGCUGGCUGCAACUGUUUAUUAAAAACACAGCACUGUGCAAACACGAAAGUGGACGUAUACGGUGUGACGCCUGCCCGGUGCCGGAAGGUUAAUUGAUGGGGUCAGCGCAAGCGAAGCUCCUGAUCGAAGCCCCGGUAAACGGCGGCCGUAACUAUAACGGUCCUAAGGUAGCGAAAUUCCUUGUCGGGUAAGUUCCGACCUGCACGAAUGGCGUAAUGAUGGCCAGGCUGUCUCCACCCGAGACUCAGUGAAAUUGAACUCGCUGUGAAGAUGCAGUGUACCCGCGGCAAGACGGAAAGACCCCGUGAACCUUUACUAUAGCUUGACACUGAACAUUGAGCCUUGAUGUGUAGGAUAGGUGGGAGGCUUUGAAGUGUGGACGCCAGUCUGCAUGGAGCCGACCUUGAAAUACCACCCUUUAAUGUUUGAUGUUCUAACGUGGACCCGUUACCCGGGUUGCGGACAGUGUCUGGUGGGUAGUUUGACUGGGGCGGUCUCCUCCUAAAGAGUAACGGAGGAGCACGAAGGUUGGCUAAUCCUGGUCGGACAUCAGGAGGUUAGUGCAAUGGCAUAAGCCAGCUUGACUGCGAGCGUGACGGCGCGAGCAGGUGCGAAAGCAGGUCAUAGUGAUCCGGUGGUUCUGAAUGGAAGGGCCAUCGCUCAACGGAUAAAAGGUACUCCGGGGAUAACAGGCUGAUACCGCCCAAGAGUUCAUAUCGACGGCGGUGUUUGGCACCUCGAUGUCGGCUCAUCACAUCCUGGGGCUGAAGUAGGUCCCAAGGGUAUGGCUGUUCGCCAUUUAAAGUGGUACGCGAGCUGGGUUUAGAACGUCGUGAGACAGUUCGGUCCCUAUCUGCCGUGGGCGCUGGAGAACUGAGGGGGGCUGCUCCUAGUACGAGAGGACCGGAGUGGACGCAUCACUGGUGUUCGGGUUGUCAUGCCAAUGGCACUGCCCGGUAGCUAAAUGCGGAAGAGAUAAGUGCUGAAAGCAUCUAAGCACGAAACUUGCCCCGAG